rnacentral:lncRNA from 1 species
GGCAGAAAGCUUCUGAAAUCUCAGAAGUAUCUUAACAUCUUUCUAAAACUAUGCCAUCUAUUUUGUAUGCAGAGUGGCAAAUAAUCACGUUUAAACUUUGAUGGAGAGACGAAACCAGUUACACUUCAGAUGAGUUCUCAAGCUCUGCUGGACUACCCGGGCUGCAUUUUGUGUAAGAUAUGUACGUUCCGGAGGAAACAGUAAACAUGGCCGUGACCUGCUGAGCUCAGAUUUCUUCAUCAAAUAUCCACCAUUCCCCAAGGAUCUUUUCUCUUCUGUCUGGAUUUGGCAUUUUGGCCUCCCAUACUUGACAGCCGCUUUCUAAGUCCAGGAAUAGAGUUGUCCAGUUGUGACAGCCGCUGUCUUCACCAACAUACCUUCCUACACAGUCUCAUCAAUCAAAAGGGAGGAAAUGUGUGUUAUUUUUGAUAAAUGGGCUCCAAGAUUUGCUGAUCGUGUUACAGGGAGGACCAGAUUAACUUGGGUCUGAAUGAAGUGACAAGGCAUUGCAGUCCAUUGUUUUUUAAAGGGCAGAGCUGUGCCGGAGAGCAAGGGGGUGUGUGAGGCUGCUUUUUACACCCAGACACAGACUAGCCAUGUCCCAGGGUGAAGUGUAGGAAGGAGGGCAGUCUCUCCCGUGCAAGGGGAUGGAGAGCGGGCAGAGUCUUGACUCCAGCCUCCAACACACUGGUCAGUGCAGCUGAGCGGGUGUGGGUGGGCAAGUCAUCGGUACCAG